GACGAACGCUGGCGGCGCGCUUAACACAUGCAAGUCGAACGGAAAGGCCUGCUUUCCCUUGUGGAUUGCGGGUACUCGAGUGGCGAACGGGUGAGUAACACGUGAGUGAUCUGCCCCCAACUUGGGUAUAAGCCUGGGAAACUGGGUCUAAUUCCCGAUAGGACUGCAGGGUGGUGCCUGUGGUGGAAAACGAUUUUCUAGUGGUUGGGGAUGAGCUCGUGGCCUAUCAGCUUGUUGGUGGGGUAAUGGCCUACCAAGGCGGCGACGGGUAGCCGGCCUGAGAGGGUGGACGGCCACAUUGGGACUGAGAUACGGCCCAGACUCCUACGGGAGGCAGCAGUGGGGAAUAUUGCACAAUGGGCGGAAGCCUGAUGCAGCGACGCCGCGUGGGGGAUGACGGCCUUCGGGUUGUAAACUCCUUUCGACCGCGAGGAAGCCACCUGGUUGGAAGGGUGGUGACGGUAGUGGUAGAAGAAGCACCGGCUAACUACGUG
rnacentral:rRNA from 1 species